rnacentral:sRNA from 2 species
CUUGGCAUAGUAUCUGCAGAUGACAUGAUUAUUUUGUAUGUAAUGCAAUAUUUUCACUAAACCUAUAAAAAUUUAGCGACCCUUGGCCGUGUGUAAUUAUCUGUUGGAGGGAUUGGAUUGGGUGAUUCGCACCCUCUAUACCACCACGGUGCUGGUGGUGAUUGAGCUCUUUUGCCCUAGUGGCCUUAUAUUAUCUAUCCCCGCAUCAUCAUCACAUCGGAUGAAAGCUGAGGCACAGGGCUUGGGACGGAUAAAAUAGCGCCGGGUGCCACGCGGCUGAGACGAAUCUAAAAAUCAUCUGUCAAAAGUUGAACUUCACUUCGU